UUCUCCAAACAGUCUCCAUUGAUAAGAAGAGUUUGUCACAUGUAUGUUGGAAAUGAUACCAAAAGAUUCAAAUGAACAGUCCCAGUUCUAGUAUUCUCCUUUUCUAUGCACAGAAUUUAAAGUCAGAUCUGAUGUCAGGGAAAAGCACAGUAUGUCAUCCCUCAGCUGUGUACUGCCAGGAGCUGAAUUCUGUCCAUGUGACAGCCGUAAAUGUGAAAAUAUCUUAUUAUUUUCAUUUAUUGCUAAGCACUAAAAACUUCAAUUUCAAAAAUAGCAGAUUUCUGAUUAUGCCACAUGUUAUGCAACAAAGUUAUCACAAUAGAGUUUUGGCCUCCUAACCCUCCUCGGAGCCACUCAGGGCACCUGCAGCAUUCCAAAGUGUCUGUCACACAGUCGAAUUUCGAAGGAGCUGAUGUUCUCAACAGCGAAAUGAGAAGAUGCACUUUAUAAUCACAUGGUUUAUUAUGUGUCAGAUGUCACUAGAAAUGAAAUAAAAGGUUAGCCCAUUGCGGCAGAAUGCAUUGAAAAUAUGAAACGUUCCCAGUGGGGAGUUAAAGAAAGCAAUCUUAUUUGUCCACUGUAGAAAGGGUGAGGAGAAAUGGCGUUACCUGGCUUUGAUAACCAAAGAAGCGUGACUUCUUGUAGCAUGUGAGAUGCAUAAACAACCUGACUGUGUUCUCUUUCUCCUGCUAACUUUGCUGAAAAGGAGCACAACAUAAACAGCUUCAAGGUAUAUAACAAUUCAUCGUAGAGAGAAUUCCAUCCUCAGCUCUUCUGCUUCCUAAUUCUCUCUACAAGAGUUUACAGGCGCACCUCUUUUUAUUGCACUUCACAGAUAUUGUGUUUUUUCGAGUCCCUCCACCAGCAAAAGGUUGUAAUCUUUUUGCUGGUGAAGGGUAUUGUAAAAAAUGUGGUAUAUGCAAAGUGCAAUAAAGUGAAGCACAAUAAAAUGAGGAAUGCCUGUACAUACAGUGGUGAUGGUGGUUGCAGCUCUGUGGAGUUAAAUCUUCCAAGAACGCCUAGUCCUAGGAUCAGAGCACUGCUAGGUUGUGGUAUAUCCACUUGAAAGGCCCAAAUGAUUCAUUUAGGGAAAGUUUAGAAGAUGAGUCCACAAUGGAGGGCAUUUAAUUAUGUGUAUCCCAAAAGGUACAAAACUGAGAGAAUGAGUGAGGCACGGGGGAAACCAGUUGAUGUUGCAUUUAUUUUCGUGUAAAGAACAGAACUUCCUGCUGGAGUAGCUGAAAGGUCAACAGACUGAGUACUUCAGCAGGGAUCCCAUAUCUCACUUUAUGAACUUAGCAUUUGCCAGUAAGCAAAUCUGAUGUGAAAAUUUCCCAGUUUAUUUGUGACUAUUCUAAUAAAGUGAGAAUAUAUGAAUUGCUAAAUUGGAUUCAUAGGAAAUCCAAAAGAAAAAAGAAUCAUAAAAUCCAGUUACGACCCUUUUUUAUUUUGUCUUUGUGUCUUUAGCCAUCUUGUAGUGAUCCAGAUGCCAUUUCAGCAACAUAAAGUC
rnacentral:lncRNA from 1 species